rnacentral:tRNA from 1 species
GCAGUCGUGGCCGAGUGGUUAACGCGAUGGACUAGAAAUCCAUUGGGGUCUCCCCGUACAGGUUCGAAUCCUGUCGACUGCG